rnacentral:lncRNA from 1 species
UAGGAAAUGAUCUGAUUCCAUCCAUAAUGCUUGUUGCAUUUCCUUUGGCUUAUGGUCUGCAGAUUUUUCACUUUCAUUUUUUUCACUCACUGGUAUUUCCUUCCUGCACCACUGCUGGGUGACUACAGGCAUUGCUGGCAGAAAUUCGCCUUGGAAGACUGACAGUUUGCCUGGAACAUCCAGUUACAAAUGUGAUGCUCACCUGAACCUCAGAGGUUGUUUUUGGAAAUACUUCACCUCUGCCGUAACUUUUGCACUCCUCCCUGC